rnacentral:rRNA from 1 species
AGAGUUUGAUCAUGGCUCAGGAUGAACGCUGGCGGUAUGCUUAACACAUGCAAGUCGAACGAAGCCUUUCGAGGCUUAGUGGCGGACGGGUGAGUAACGCGUGAGAAUCUGCCUUGAGGUUUGGGACAACAGCUGGAAACGGCUGCUAAUACCAAAUAUGCACAACUGUGAAAGGGGUUUUCCCCGCCUCGUGAUGAGCUCGCGUCUGAUUAGCUAGUUGGUAGAGUAAGAGCCUACCAAGGCGACGAUCAGUAGCUGGUCUGAGAGGACGAUCAGCCACACUGGGACUGAGACACGGCCCAGACUCCUACGGGAGGCAGCAGUGGGGGAAUUUUCCGCAAUGGGCGAAAGCCUGACGGAGCAAUACCGCGUGAGGGAAGAAGGCUCUAGGGUUGUAAACCUCUUUUCUCAGGGAAGAACACAAUGACGGUACCUGAGGAAUAAGCAUCGGCUAACUCCGUGCCAGCAGCCGCGGUAAUACGGAGGAUGCAAGCGUUAUCCGGAAUGAUUGGGCGUAAAGCGUCCGCAGGUGGCAAUUUAAGUCUGCUGUUAAAGCGUCUGGCUUAACCAGAUAAAAGCAGUGGAAACUACUUUGCUAGAGUGCGGUAGGGGCAGAGGGAAUUAAGAGAGUAGCGGUGAAAUGCGUAGAUACUCUUAAGAACACCAGUGGCGAAAGCGCUCUGCUAGACCGCAACUGACACUCAUGGACGAAAGCUAGGGGAGCAAAUGGGAUUAGAUACCCCCGUAGUCC